rnacentral:lncRNA from 1 species
UAGGCAGUUUGACAAUGGAAGGUGAAGGAAAUAAGCUAUGAAAGUAAGCAGGAAAUUAAAGUGCAAGAAAUGUAAACUAGGCAAAUCCUAAGAGUGUUUAGAUGACCUCAUUUAAGGUUCCCAACAAAACACUCACUAUCCUAAGGGAAAAUUGCCUCAAAUUAUUACACACAAAUGGAAGUUUGGUAACCUAUUGGAGGCUCCCAACACACUUCCAAUGAAAGGCCUUUUUGUUACAAAAUCUUGAAAGCAAUGAAGGUAAGUAAAUUUCCAAUUACAAAAUUACAAAACGGUCCUCAAUUUUGGUGGUUGUUCUCCCUUUGGUGAUUCACUCAAUUUGGAGUGCUUCUUAGUCCAAUAGCUCUUAAUGUGGUUGGCCCCAUGCUUCUUGACUCAAAUUCUUCAAGGGAUGGCACCAAUCCUCCUUUCUAAUUCCCUAUAUAGCUACUCACAAACAAGGAAACAAAGAGACAAGCAAUAACCAAAGACCAAAAAAUGAAAUGAAAGCUAAAACAAUAGAGUUUUAACAAGACAAAUUUUCAAGCAUUAUUCAACAAUUAAAGCAAUGAAAAUCACAUAAAAGCAAGCUAGGACUCAAAGAGAAACCUAGAAUGGCUCUAGAGUAGAGUAAAAAAAACUAAAAAAAAAAAUAAGACUCAAGAAACCUCUUGUUUUGGAACUUGUUUUCACACUAAUUUUCAAUUGAACUUUCAGAACUAAGAUUAGUAUAAAAUAGGCACCAAUUAUAGAACAAAUUUCGAGCCAAAACAACAAGCACACUUCCCUUUCACUUUUUUUUUCCUGGACACUGAUUUUCC